AAGAAACCAACAGGGAUUGCCCCAGUAACGGCGAGUGAAGCGGCAACAGCUCAAAUUUGAAAUCUGGCCCCCAGGGCCCGAGUUGUAAUUUGCAGAGGAUGCUUUUGGCGCGGUGCCUUCCGAGUUCCCUGGAACGGGACGCCAUAGAGGGUGAGAGCCCCGUCUGGUCGGACGCCUAGCCUGUGUAAAGCUCCUUCGACGAGUCGAGUAGUUUGGGAAUGCUGCUCUAAAUGGGAGGUAUAUGUCUUCUAAAGCUAAAUACCGGCCAGAGACCGAUAGCGCACAAGUAGAGUGAUCGAAAGAUGAAAAGCACUUUGAAAAGAGGGUUAAAUAGUACGUGAAAUUGUUGAAAGGGAAGCGCUUGUGACCAGACUUGGGCCCGGUGGAUCAUCCAGCGUUCUCGCUGGUGCACUCCGCCGGGUUCAGGCCAGCAUCAGUUCGCCGCGGGGGAAAAAGGCUUCGGGAACGUGGCUCCUACGGGAGUGUUAUAGCCCGUUGCAUAAUACCCUGGGGCGGACUGAGGUUCGCGCUCCGCAAGGAUGCUGGCGUAAUGGUCAUCAGCGCCG
rnacentral:rRNA from 1 species